GAUGGUCAGAGCGCAGCGCAAAGUGGUUUGAUCCAUGAUACAUGUUCCUCAGACGAAAGGCUUCUAGAACAAGGAAUCGACAAAGCUAAGGAGUACAAGUCAAGGAAUUGGAAAAGAGAAGUGUACCAUGCCCUAAAAAUGGAGAUGUUCAAGAGCACCGUAUGGGAACUAGAGAAAGGAGGGAUCGGAUAUGCAAGGAUGUGACCAACUUUCUCAACUUUAGUUCAAAA